UACGUAGGGGGCAAGCGUUGUCCGGAUUUAUUGGGCGUAAAGCGCGUGUAGGCGGCUGGGUAGGUCCGCUGUGAAAACUUGAGGCUCAACCUCAAGAGGUCGGUGGAAACCAUCCAGCUAGAGUCCGGAAGAGGAGAAUGGAAUUCCUGGUGUAGCGGUGAAAUGCGCAGAUAUCAGGAAGAACACCCGUGGCGAAGGCGGCUCUCUGGGACGGUACUGACGCUGAGACGCGAAAGCGUGGGGAGCGAACAGG
rnacentral:rRNA from 1 species